rnacentral:tRNA from 1 species
CUAUAGCUCAGCUGGGAGAGCGCCUGCUUUGCACGCAGGAGGUCUGCGGUUCGAUCCCCCGGCGAUGUCC